CCUACGGGUGGCUGCAGUCGAGAAUCUUCCACAAUGGACGAAAGUCUGAUGGAGCGACGCCGCGUGAUUGAUGAAGUCCUCUGGGACGUAAAGAUCUUUUAUUAGGGAAGCUGUACCUAAUGAAUAAGAGGCUCCUAAUCUCGUGCCAGCAGGAGAGGUAAUACGAGAGCCUCGAGCGUUAUCCGGAAUUAUUGGGCGUAAAGGGUGCGUAGGUUGUUCUGUUAGUCUUUUGUCAAAGCCCCGGGCUUAACCUGGGAUAUGCGGAAGAAACGGCAGAACUUGAAAGUGCGAGAGGUGGACGGAACUCAUGGUGUAGGGGUGAAAUCCGUUGAUAUCAUGGGGAACACCAAAUGCGAAGGCAGUACACUGGCGAUUUUGACACUGAAGCACGAAAGCGUGGGUAGCGAAUGGGAUUAGAUACCCUUGUAGUC
rnacentral:rRNA from 1 species